rnacentral:piRNA from 1 species
UGGUGUAUCUACAGGUGUGCCAGGCCUUA